rnacentral:rRNA from 1 species
AACGAACGCUGGCGGCAUGCCUAACACAUGCAAGUCGAACGAGACCUUCGGGUCUAGUGGCGCACGGGUGCGUAACGCGUGGGAACCUGCCCUCAGGUUCGGAAUAACUCCCCGAAAGGGGUGCUAAUACCGGAUAAUGUCUUCGGACCAAAGAUUUAUCGCCUUUGGAUGGGCCCGCGUUGGAUUAGCUAGUUGGUAGGGUAAAAGCCUACCAAGGCGACGAUCCAUAGCUGGUCUGAGAGGAUGAUCAGCCACACUGGGACUGAGACACGGCCCAGACUCCUACGGGAAGCAGCAGUGGGGAAUAUUGGACAAUGGGCGAAAGCCUGAUCCAGCAAUGCCGCGUGAGUGAUGAAGGCCUUAGGGUUGUAAAGCUCUUUUACCCGGGAUGAUAAUGACAGUACCGGGAGAAUAAGCUCCGGCUAACUCCGUG